AAAAGUAUUGACCAAAAAGU
rnacentral:snRNA from 1 species